rnacentral:rRNA from 1 species
GGGGAAUAUUGCACAAUGGGCGAAAGCCUGAUGCAGCGACGCCGCGUGAGGGAUGAAGGCCUUCGGGUUGUAAACCUUUUUCGCUCUUGACCAAGGGCCGCUGUUGGGGUGGUCUGCGGGCAUGGGGUAAAGAAGCACCGGCUAACUACGUGCCAGCAGCCGCGGUAAUACGUAGGGUGCGAGCGUUGUCCGGAAUUAUUGGGCGUAAAGGGCUUGUAGGUGGCGUGUCGCGUCUGUCGUGAAAUUCACUGGCUUAACUAGUGAAGUGCGGUGGGUACGGGCAUGCUUGAGUGUGGUAGGGGAGAUUGGAAUUCCUGGUGUAGCGGUGGAAUGCGCAGAUAUCAGGAAGAACACCGGUGGCGAAGGCGGAUCUCUGGGCCAUUACUGACGCUGAGGAGCGAAAGCGUGGGGAGCGAACA